UACGUAGGGGGGCAAGCGUUUGUCCGGAUUUAUUGGGCGUAAAGAGCGUGUAGGCGGCUAGGUAGGUCCGUUGUGAAAACUCGAGCUCAACCUCGAGACGCCGGUGGAAACCAUCUAGCUAGAGUCCGGAAGAGGAGAGUGGAAUUCCUGGUGUAGCGGUGAAAUGCGCAGAUAUCAGGAAGAACACCCGUGGCGAAGGCGGGUCUCUGGGCAACAACUGACGCUGAGGAGCGAAAGCGUGGGGAGCGAACAGG
rnacentral:rRNA from 1 species